rfam:Rhodobacteraceae bacterium SB2 pfor_12, whole genome shotgun sequence.
UUCUCAGCGCGUGUUUCAAAACAACAUUCGGGAAUGAAACGCCUUUUAAACGUGCGGUUCGGAUAUAUUGGGCGGUCAUCACUUCGGUCAUUGAGGCCCUUGUCAUCCGCGCAAUGUAGCCCAUUCCGUAGAUCGCAAUCGUUAAAACCGGCAAUAAAAAAUUCUCAAGAUUAGGGUUU